GGCAAAAAAGCAUUUGCUUCGAAAGCCCCAUCAAGAGGAAAAUCUUUCUACUGCCAGAGGGACUCUUCUGGGAAGCCUGAGUGGAGAGAGAGAAUGGGCAAGGGGUCAUCGAUGGACCGGAGAUGGGAUGGUAGGGACGGAAACUGCAGGGUCCGCAGAAGGAACUGCUCACCGAAAGCCAACAAGCUUGCCCUGUGGAAUCCCAGAAAGGCCCAGGAACUUCGGGACAUCACUGAAGGCAGAGUGAAGAGAGAUUCUUCACAUAUCAGCACCAGGACCAUACUUUGAGUAGCGUUGCUUCAGGCUGUACAUCUAAGAACAGAUCAACUGGUGUAUAGGCUAGGCACAUGUUUACCUUUACAAGAUAAUCCCAAAUUGUUUUCCAAAGAGGCUCUGCAAUUUUAUACUCCCAAUAGCAGGUGUAUUAAGAAUUUUCUUUGCUCCUCAUCCUUGCCAAUACUUAGAACUGUCA
rnacentral:lncRNA from 1 species